CAGAGGAGGAGCUUGGCUCCCAGCCAGCUGGCCAAGAGAAAACCUGAAGGCAGGUCCUGUGAUGAUGAAGACUGGCAACCUGGCCUAGUGACUCCUAGGAAACGGAAAUCCAGCAGUGAGACCCAGAUCCAGGAGUGUUUCCUGUCUCCUUUUCGGAAACCUUUGAGUCAGCUAACCAAUCAACCACCUUGUCUGGACAGCAGUCAGCAUGAAGCAUUUAUUCGAAGCAUUUU
rnacentral:lncRNA from 1 species